rnacentral:rRNA from 1 species
GUAGGUGGCAAGCGUUGUCCGGGAAUUAUUGGGGCGUAAAGCGCGCGCAGGCGGUUCUUUAAGUCUGAUGUGAAAGCCCACGGGCUCAACCGUGGAGGGUCAUUGGAAACUGGAGAACUUGAGUACAGAAGAGGAAAGCGGAAUUCCACGUGUAGCGGUGAAAUGCGUAGAGAUGUGGAGGAACACCAGUGGCGAAGGCGGCUUUCUGGUCUGUAACUGACGCUGAGGCGCGAAAGCGUGGGGAGCAAACAGGAUUAGAUACCCUGGUAGUCCACGCCGUAAACGAUGAGUGCUAAGUGUUAGGGGGUUUCCGCCCCUUAGUGCAGCAGCUUAACGCAUUAAGCACUCCGCCUGGGGAGUACGGCCGCAAAGGCUG